AGCACCACCACCACCACGGCCUCCGCUUCCGCCCCCGCCGGCGUGCCCCACUUCUUCUCGCAGCAACCGACACCGCAGCAGCUGCAGUCCUAUUACGCCGCCUCGCAGCAGUACCAGCAGCAGCACCAGCAUCAGCAGCAGCAGCACCGCGCCAGCCCGCCGGCCUCAUCGCCGUAUGACGCCCCAGGGUCGUUCCGCUACGCACAGCCCGGCGAGGCGCAGCUGCAGAGGCUCGUCCAGCUGCAGCAGUACCAGCAGCAGCAGCAGCACCAGCAGCAGCAGAUGGCCGCCGCGGCUAAUGCGGCCACGGCGGGGGCCAGUCCGCGUGGGCCGGUGGCCGAGAGUCCGCGUGGGGCCGCGCCCUCGAGGGCCAAGAAGGAAAGUGCAAGUACUGGAGUAAAACGAAGAGGUGGUCCAGGGGGAUUAAACAAAAUCUGUGGUGUUUCGCCUGAGCUGCAAGCUAUUGUUGGUGAACCAACAAUGGCUAGGACUGAGAUCGUUAAGCAGCUUUGGGCGUACAUUCGCAGGAAUGACUUGCAGGACCCAAACAAUAAGAGAAAGAUCAUAUGCAAUGAUGAGCUACGAUUGGUUUUUGAGACUGAUUGCACUGAUAUGUUCAAGAUGAACAAGCUUUUAGCGAAGCAUAUAAAACCACUCGAGCCAACAAAAGAUUCAAAUCGAGAUAUGAAGAAGCUGAAGCCUGUGGAAGAUGUUCCCGUUCCUCCUGCCGAAGAUGUUGCUACAAACCAACCUCUAGUUAACGUGUCUGAUGCUCUUGCUAGCUUUUUUGGAACUGGAGAAAGAGAGAUGUCCCAAUCUGAGGUUUUCAAGCGUGUUUGGGACCACAUCAAAAGCAACAAUCUAGAGGAUCCAUCAAAUCCCACGAUGAUAUUAUGCGACUCUAAGCUUAAAGAUCUCUUUGGGUGUGAAAGCGUAACUGCUCCGGCUGUUUCAGAGUUGCUGUCAGACCACCUUUUCAAGCAACCUAACAAGAUCUAA
rnacentral:rRNA from 1 species